rnacentral:rRNA from 1 species
AGUGAACGCUGGCGGUAGGCCUAACACAUGCAAGUCGAACGGCAGCACAGUAAGAGCUUGCUCUUACGGGUGGCGAGUGGCGGACGGGUGAGGAAUACAUCGGAAUCUACUUUUUCGUGGGGGAUAACGCAGGGAAACUUACGCUAAUACCGCAUACGACCUACGGGUGAAAGCAGGGGAUCUUCGGACCUUGCGCGAUUGAAUGAGCCGAUGUCGGAUUAGCUAGUUGGCGGGGUAAAGGCCCACCAAGGCGACGAUCCGUAGCUGGUCUGAGAGGAUGGUCCGCCACACUGGAACUGAGACACGGUCCAGACUCCUACGGGAGGCAGCAGUGGGGAAUAUUGGACAAUGGGCGCAAGCCUGAUCCAGCCAUACCGCGUGGGUGAAGAAGGCCUUCGGGUUGUAAAGCCCUUUUGUUGGGAAAGAAAAGCAGCAGGUUAAUACCCCGCUGUUCUGACGGUACCCGAAGAAUAAGCACCGGCUAACUUCGUG